UACGUAGGGUGCGAGCGUUGUCCGGAAUUAUUGGGCGUAAAGAGCUUGUAGGUGGUUUGUCGCGUCUGCUGUGAAAAUCCGAGGCUCAACCUCGGACUUGCAGUGGGUACGGGCAGACUAGAGUGUGGUAGGGGGAGACUGGAAUUCCUGGGUGUAGCGGUGGAAUGCGCAGAUAUCAGGAGGAACACCGAUGGCGAAGGCAGGUCUCUGGGCCAUUACUGACACUGAGAAGCGAAAGCAUGGGGAGCGAACAGGAUAGAUACC
rnacentral:rRNA from 1 species